GCAUAAUCAUUAGUCUUUUAAUUGAAGGCUGGUAUGAAUGGCGGGAUGAGGUAUUAACUGUCUCUUUUUAAUUAAUUUUGAAUUUAAUUUUUUAGUCAAAAAGCUAAAAUAUAAUUGAAAGACGAGAAGACCCUAUAGAUCUUUACAUGAAUUUUUAUUUUUAAAUUUAAUUAAUUAAAAUUAAAGAAUAGUGUUUUGUUGGGGUGACAGGAAGAUAAAAUAAACUCUUCGUUUAAUGAACUAUAAAUACAUAAUUACAUGAUCCGUUUUUAACGAUUAAAAGUCUAAGUUACCUUAGGGAUAACAGCGUAAUUCUUUUUGAGAGUUCUAAUCGACAAAAGAGUUUGCGACCUCGAUGUUGGACUAAGAAAAUUCCCAGGUGUAGAAGUUUGGGGGCUAAGUCUGUUCGACUUUUGAAUUCUUACAU
rnacentral:rRNA from 1 species